GCUUUGCAUGUGUGAGAAGUGCUGGAACUUCACUGUACCAUAGGCAGAUACAGAAUUCAGACUGUCCUGUUGCAGAUGAACCUAAACUGAAUUAACUUGAGUCUGCCUUGGACUGACUUCUCACAGAUGAAAAUUACAGCUUAUGAGGCAAAUUUUCUGAGUAGCAAAAGGAGGGAUUCUGCUGGGGUCCUGUGACAAUUCACUGACCUGAAUGAGGAUUCUUUGGCUCAGGAGUACAUCUGCCCCUUCUGAGUUCUACAGGGGUUUUUUUUAAGUGAGAAGAAUUUAAUCAAGAGCUUAUGAGAUUGUGCUGCUGGCUGCAGAGCUCACUGAGUAAUUUUGUGGGCUUUUCCUUCGAGCAUAAAGGACAUACUAAAUUUUUUCUGUAUUUUUUUUCUUCUCUGUACUUUUCUGUUUUCAUCUAUGUAAAAUGUCUUAUGUGGAGGUGAUAAUUAUUUUCCCAAUUAGAAUUGAAAAUACUUGAAGGAUAAGUAUAAAGGGCUUCUUCACACAGAUCUGCUGAGCUGUUAGAUUUUCUGAAACAAGUUUUUCUAUAGUCCUUCCACUUUUGCAUUUGUAAACUGUAUCAGACUUCAGUCUCAUUCAGUAACAACUUUCUUUAAUGCUAGAUACUGCCAUGAUACUUUUAAUAUGGUUUCUGCCACUUAUGUUGGUAAUAACUCCUUUAAUCAGUUGGGCUGUUGAACAGUAUAAGCUCUUGGUAUGUUGGGUCAGUAGUUUCAAAACAAUCCUGGUGAGGCCAGUGUAUGGAUGGUGUAGGGGAUUCCUUUUUCUCUGCUGAACCUGAACAUUUGCCCUCCGCCUUGUGGGCCUGUGUUUCCUCUGUCAGAAUGGAAGGGGGGAAAUCAAUAAAACGGGACGGUCUUGUCCAUAUUCACCCCUGAGCUUUAAGCAGUUUGUAUCCUAGUUUGGAUAGGCAAGGAAAAAAAUCUGUCAUUGGAUUUGUAAGUAUGCCAAUAUUAUUCGUUACCUUUCAGGUCUCCGUUAUUUACUUACACCAUUUAUGCACCUUCAGUGAAAUCAGCCAAGCUGUGUGUCUAGUAACAAGCAAAUAUUUAAGUGUGUGACCUGUAAAGGUGUUUAGAUUGCUAUUUAUGUGCAAUUGCUUUUUAAUUUCAUUGUAGAUUACGUGAUUGAAUACAUUUAUAGAUCAGUUAUUACACAGGAAUGACAGGCUUUUUUAGUAGUCACACAAUAAAAUUCUUUUCCAUAUAGAAGAAAAAUAUUUAUGCUAAGAUUAAUUCUUGUCAAAAUAUGGUUUCAAAAUGUUUUUAAUACCAGUAUAUUGGAACUUCAAUGACCAUAUAUUUCAAAUAGUGACAUUUUAUUUAAUAUUGAGUCAUUAACCAUUUCCCGGUUUACUUAACUUGGAUUUUUAUUUGCCAAAGGUUGAAACAGGAAAGAAACUUUUGAUAAAAAUGCUUCAUUUGCCUUUUUAUAUAAAAAGAAAUAUUUAUGGAUAUCUGCCUGAAUUCCAGUAUUAGGAAAAUAAACUUUUGUAAAUUCAA